rnacentral:rRNA from 1 species
AUUGAACGCUGGCGGCAUGCCUUACACAUGCAAGUCGAACGGCAGCACGGGAGCAAUCCUGGUGGCGAGUGGCGAACGGGUGAGUAAUACAUCGGAACGUGCCCAGUAGUGGGGGAUAACCCGGCGAAAGCCGGACUAAUACCGCAUACGACCUACGGGUGAAAGCAGGGGAUCGCAAGACCUUGCGCUAUUGGAGCGGCCGAUGUCAGAUUAGCUUGUUGGNGGGGUAAAAGCCUACCAAGGCAACGAUCUGUAGCUGGUCUGAGAGGACGACCAGCCACACUGGGACUGAGACACGGCCCAGACUCCUACGGGAGGCAGCAGUGGGGAAUUUUGGACAAUGGGCGCAAGCCUGAUCCAGCCAUGCCGCGUGCGGGAAGAAGGCC